UGAUGCAUCGGUCUGUUGAUACUGUUGCAGAUUGUCUCCAGAAUUGGAAGAUUGAUCCUGUUGUGAAUCCUGACUGAUUUGUUCAUUAUCAGAAUUUUGUUCUUGCUGCGUCUGCUGUAGGUCUCCGUUUGAUGCAUCGUUCUGUUGAUACUGUUGCAGAUUGUCUCCAGAUUCGGAAGAUUGAUCCUGCUGUGAAUGCUGACUGAUUUGUUCAUUAUCAGAAUUUUGUUCUUGCUGCGUCUGCUGUAGGUCUCCAUUUGAUGUAUCGUUCUGUUGAUACUGUUGCAAAUCGUCUCCAGAAUCGGAAGAUUGAUCUUGCUGUGUAUGCUGACUGAGUUGUUCAGAAUCAGAAUCUAAUUCUUGCUGUAUCUGUUGUAGGUCUCCGUUUGAUGCAUCGGUCUGUUGAUACUGUUGCAGAUUGUCUCCAGAAUCGGAAGAUUGAUCCUGCUGUGAAUGUUGACUGAUUUGUUCAUUAUCAGAAUCUAAUUCUUGCUGUGUCUGUUGAAGGUCUUGGUUU